CAGGCCUAACACAUGCAAGUCGAACGCUGUGGCAACACAGAGUGGCAGACGGGUGAGUAACACGUGGGAACGUACCCUUUGGUUCGGAAUAACUCUGGGAAACUAGAGCUAAUACCGGAUACGCCCUUAUGGGGGAAAGGCUUGCUGCCGAAGGAUCGGCCCGCGUCCGAUUAGCUUGUUGGUGAGGUAACGGCUCACCAAGGCAUCGAUCGGUAGCUGGUCUGAGAGGAUGACCAGCCACAUUGGGACUGAGACACGGCCCAAACUCCUACGGGAGGCAGCAGUGGGGAAUAUUGGACAAUGGGCGCAAGCCUGAUCCAGCCAUGCCGCGUGAGUGAUGACGGCCUUAGAGUUGUAAAGCUGUUUUACCUGGGAAGAUCAUGAC
rnacentral:rRNA from 1 species